rnacentral:snRNA from 1 species
AUACCCCACUAAAAUCUGUUCUUAACAGUUUAAUAUCUGAUGCAUCCUCUAGCCAAGGACAAUAUAUUAAAUGAAUUUUUGGAACUAGGACGUGGAAUGGGAGCUCGCUCCAUCCAUUCCCCACAUUGAGUGGUAUUGUAUUGCUUCCAGGAACAGUGCGCCCUCU